AACUUCCGGUAGCGCCGUAAGAAGGAAAAUCAGGGAAUUCGAUGCACCUGUGCCUAGUUAGGGACAGCGGUUGGUGAUUGGAGGAUACGCUGGACAAGGCAGUACUUAAGGCCAAGUUAUUUCACAGUCUGGGAGCUCUUUCUGGUGGGUGUGAAGCACUGUGUUGUGCCUGUCUUGGUGCGCUGCUGGUGGCUGUCUAACACUCUCUCUCCCUCAGGCUGGAAUUGUAUGAUUGUGAAGACAUCGCGAACCUUAAAGGUUGAGAAGUGAACGGAUUAUACGAUCCGAACCAAGCGAAGUGAAGGAAGACGGGUGUCCUUUUCGUACACUGAGUGUGGUGGAUAAACCCCCGCCUUCACGCACUUCGUCGCGGGAGGACAAGGAGACUGCUGGUCCUAGCCUAGUUCAGUACAGUAUAUGUUGUGAGCGUGCUUCAGAUCUCCGGAGAUAGCACGGUACGCUGUGUCCAGCCCAGAGGUGAAAGCCAUCCAAAGCAGAGUAACUGUGCUUUGUGUCCAAGUUGAUACCUGUGGAGAGGAAAGGAAAGAGAGAGUGAGUAACACAAGGAGAACCAGAGGGAACCUGUACUUACAGUACGCUGUGUUCAGCCCAGAGGUGAGAGCCAUUCAAAGCAAACUAACUGUGCUAUUGUGCCCAAGUUGAUAUCUGUGGAGAGAAAAGGAGAGAGAGUGAAUAACACGAGGAGAGACCGAGGGAAACCUGUACUUACGCCGCUGCCUGUGGAGAAAGAGAAACCGUUGCCUGUGGAGGAAGAGAAAGAGAGUGAGCACCCCGAGAACGAACUGUGUGAACCAGUACUUACCGUGAGCUGUAUUCAGCGAAGAGGAGGAAGAAGGAGGGCGCUACGGAUACCUAAGACUCAGGCCGGGGCCCGAGUCCCACGCCCCGGAUCCCCGUGGCCCCCUUGCUCCCUGACCUCUUCCCGGCCAUAGCCCAUCUGGAGGGCCGAGUCAG
ensembl:lncRNA